GNGGGGUUGGCUCAGUGGUUAAGAGCACUUGUCUCUUUUUCAGAGGACCUGGGUUCGAUACCCAGCACCCACA
rnacentral:tRNA from 1 species